UAUAUUUUAAUGUAUGAAGCAUAAUAAUAUUUGAAAUUAUAAGAAAAAGUUUAAUUCUUUUAAAUAUAA
rnacentral:tRNA from 1 species